rnacentral:misc_RNA from 1 species
AACGCACAUUGCGCCCGCUAGUAUUCUGGCGGGCAUGCCUGUCCGAGCGUCAUUUCAACCCUCAGGUCCCGGCCCCUCUCUCGGGGGGCUAGCGGAUCUGGUGUUGGGGAUCGGGUCCCGCCUCCGCUCCGGCGGCGGCGCCCCGGCCCCGAAAGUCAGUGGCGGUCACGCCGCAGCGUUCCCCUGCGUAGUAGCAACACCUCGCACCGGACCGCGGCGCGGCCACGCCGUGAAACCCCAACUUUUUUCUGGUUGACCUCGGAUCAGGUAGGAAUACCCGCUGAACUUAA